rnacentral:tRNA from 1 species
UUAAUUGAAACCAAAAAGAGGUAUAUUAUUGUUAAUAAUAUCAUUGAAUUAAUAAGUUCCAAUUAAG